AACCCUUUAGUUCCCAAGCCGAAUACCACUGGGACGAUGUGGGAACAUUUCAGAUUCAAGCCAGAUGAACGUGGCCAUCCCCCUCUGCAUGAACAAUCUGCUGUAUCAAAUGGACCUUUCCAACUGGCGAUCUUCAGCUUCGCCUCCCUUAGCUCUAGUUGCCAUGUCCAACAAUAUUCCAAAAUGGCGACUGAAGAUAACAGAUUUGAACUUGAUUCUCGAUCGCGUAUUCCAGAAAAUAUUGGGGUAUGAUUUUUGCCAAAUGCGUCAGACUUGUUCCAGAGAGUUCUAAAGAGUGGUCUCAACUAUUUCACGCAAGGAUAUGUACACGGAAUUAAGAUUUUGGACGGAGCAGGACGCAAUGUCAGAGUUACAGCGAAACGUUGGCGAUUGAUGCAAAGAAGUUUGAGGCCUCACAAACUUCAUAUUGAAAUCAAACAGGAUAAAAUAGUGGAAUCACACUGCACGUGAAGCAGGGGAUAAAGCAGAGCUGUGACCAAACAAACCGCGCCAAAUGAGGACCUAUAUGAAGUCAACAAUGCAGCACAUGAUCCAUUGUUUGCUGCUUGUCUCGUACACGUACUUGCACUCUCUGCCUCUGCAUGCUUAUUCUGUUUGUGGCUUAAUGUGUGUAUGAGCACAUGUUUCUGUGGGAGGAAGAUUGAAAAGAUGGUAGAACCCCGCCAAGCGGACUGAUUAGACCUUAAGGUGGAGACAAGGAAAAACAGUUCUUGACAGUUGAUAUUCAAGAAGAAACGAGGAAAAAAAGUGAUUGAAAUCCAAGGCUUGGGGCUCCAGUGAACCACUGUCAGAACCAUUAUCCACAAAUGAAGAAAACAGGGAACAGUGGCAAACCUUCCCAGGAGAGGACGACCAACUAAAAUUACUCCAAGAGUGUGACAACGACUCAUCCAGGAUGUCACAAAAGAACCUCAAACAACAUCCAAAGACCUGCAGGCCUCACUGGUCUCGGUAAAGGUCGGUGUUCAUGACUCUACCACAGAGGUUGGGAACCUAUGGCUCGCAAGCAUAUCUGGCUCAUUCGGUGGUUGCAUAUGGCUCGCGGAGCCCUCGUAACAACAUACUGUAAAUGUAUUCUCUGUUGUGCAGAGGUGGUUUGUCCUAGUGGGGUUGCUGUAGUUAGGUGUGGGAGGCAACACAAAUGACGUAGAGACCGUCUGGCCUAGUGGGG